GUGGGGAAUCUUGCGCAAUGGGCGAAAGCCUGACGCAGCCAUGCCGCGUGAAUGAUGAAGGUCUUAGGAUUGUAAAAUUCUUUCACCGGGGACGAUAAUGACGGUACCCGGAGAAGAAGCUCCGGCUAACUUCGUGCCAGCAGCCGCGGUAAUACGAAGGGGGCUAGCGUUGCUCGGAAUUACUGGGCGUAAAGGGCGCGUAGGCGGACAGCUUAGUCAGAGGUGAAAGCCCAGGGCUCAACCUUGGAAUUGCCUUUGAUACUGGCUGUCUUGAGUUUGGGAGAGGUGAGUGGAACUCCGAGUGUAGAGGUGAAAAUCGUAGAUAUUCGGAAGAACACCAGUGGCGAAGGCGACUCACUGGCCCAAUACUGACGCUGAGGCGCGAAAGCGUGGGGAGCAAACAGGAUUAGAUACCCUAGUAGUCC
rnacentral:rRNA from 1 species